AGAUGUGAGGGCAAUCUGGCUGUGAUGUCUGGCCCUGCAUUGAUCUCCAGAGUUGAUUCUGCUGUUCUGGCUGGCAAAGCAGGUGUCCUCUUCCCCACCCACCGCUCUAUGUGUGUCCCUCCUGAAGCAGCCACACUUGGUCAAAGAGCCAAGAUUCUUCCCCGCUAGAGGCGGACUGACUGGUCUUUGGUCAAGGGAACACAGAUAGCUGCCUUCUGCUAGGCUCUCCAAACUCUCAAAUUAUUGUUAUUCUAUUGGGAUUACAGGUGUGAGGAAGGUUCUGUCGAUGUCAUGAAAUGACAAAUUUCUGUUGUCCAUU
rnacentral:snRNA from 1 species